GGGGUCUAAUACCGGAUACUGACCGGCCUGGGCAUCCAGGCGGGUCGAAAGCUCCGGCGGUGAAGGAUGAGCCCGCGGCCUAUCAGCUUGUUGGUGAGGUAACGGCUCACCAAGGCGACGACGGGUAGCCGGCCUGAGAGGGCGACCGGCCACACUGGGACUGAGACACGGCCCAGACUCCUACGGGAGGCAGCAGUGGGGAAUAUUGCACAAUGGGCGAAAGCCUGAUGCAGCGACGCCGCGUGAGGGAUGACGGCCUUCGGGUUGUAAACCUCUUUCAGCAGGGAAGAAGCGAAAGUGACGGUACCUGCAGAAGAAGCGCCGGCUAACUACGUGCCAG
rnacentral:rRNA from 1 species